AGUGAACGCUGGCGGUAGGCCUAACACAUGCAAGUCGAACGGCAGCACAGUAAGAGCUUGCUCUUACGGGUGGCGAGUGGCGGACGGGUGAGGAAUACAUCGGAAUCUACUUUUUCGUGGGGGAUAAUGUAGGGAAACUUACGCUAAUACCGCAUACGACCUACGGGUGAAAGCAGGGGAUCUUCGGACCUUGCGCGAUUGAAUGAGCCGAUGUCGGAUUAGCUAGUUGGCGGGGUAAAGGCCCACCAAGGCGACGAUCCGUAGCUGGUCUGAGAGGCUGAUCAGCCACACUGGAACUGAGACACGGUCCAGACUACUACGGGAGGCGGCAGUGGGGAAUAUUGGACAAUGGGCGCAAGCCUGAUCCAGCCAUACCGCGUGGGUGAAGAAGGCCUUCGGGUUGUAAAGCCCUUUUGUUGGGAAAGAAAAGCAGCAGGUUAAUACCCCGCUGUUCUGACGGUACCCAAAGAAUAAGCACCGGCUAACUUCGUG
rnacentral:rRNA from 1 species